UUUUUCAAUUAUUAAAAGAUUUUUAAAGUUAAAAAAAUUAAAGUGACAAGCUAAAAAUAUUUUCACGUCCCCUCUCCUCUCUCUCUCUCUCCUAAUAUCCGCUUUCUCUAUCUCCCCUUAAUAAGUCACCUCUCUUUCUCUCACUCUAAAGAAUUUUUUCUGCAAACCAUUUAAACCCAACUCUGCAAAUCUUCUAGACCCAGAUUCAUCCAGAAGGUAGCAAUUGCCGAUGAUUUUCUGCAAAAACCCAAAAUCAAACAACUCAUAAAACCCCCAAAACUAGACUCGAUGAAUUUCUACAAACCCUAAAACCUAACAUCAAACAACCCACAAAACCCCCAAAACUAAACUUGACGAUUUUCUGCAAACCCUAAGACCUAACAUAAAGCAACCCCUAAAAGCCCCAAAGCUAGACUUCUCUCCCUACCCUUUAUAUCUCUCAAACCUAGCUGCACCCAAAACCAUAUUAAAACCCUAAAAAGCUGGACUUAUCUCUCUACCCUUUUUAUCUCUCUAAUAUGUACUAUUGGGUUUUGUCCUUGUGGGUUUUUAGAAAGAGAAGCAAUGACUUUGGCCGUGGCAGGAAAGAAUAAUGGUAUCAAACAGGGGGAAUUUUGAAGCCAUAAUUUCCCCCCCUUGCAGUCUGUUCGAGCUUGGAUUAUUUGUAGCAAUGGCGAGUUGGUGCCUCCUUCAUGUUUUCUCUCUAUUGCUUCAAAAGCUGCAAUAAUCAAAUCGUCCUUCACCACCUGGACCAGCGAUACGAGCCUUCUCUUCCAGUUGAAAAGAGUCACAUUACUCUUCACGACAUUGGCCUUGCCAAUAGUACCUCUCUCUCUCUCUCUCCUAGUUGAAAAGAAUCACAUCCCUGAGUGAACUAUUGUUGUCCAUGUGGUAAUAUACAUUAGUUAUAUUUAAUAAUAUAUAUUUAUGUAGUAUAUAUCAGUGCGUAACAUAGCAAUAUAGGUAUGUGCAUUAUUUAUGUCUAAUAAUAUAUAUUUAUGUAGUAUUUAUCAGUGCGUAUCAUAGCAAUAUAGGUACACACGUACAUAAAUGCUAUGUACAUGUGUUUACACGUGUUUAGUAUAUAAAUUGUAUAAACUGAGUAUGUCGUUUAUGUAUAGAUUUGACAUCAUUGAUAGUAUGUACAUAUCUAUAUCGAUUAUAUAUAUUGUAUUUAAUGUGUAAUAUAUAAUUAUACAUUAAAUACAUUACAAUGUAAUGUAUAUCAUAUAUACAUAUUAGUCUAUCACACAUUUUUAUAUAUACAUAUGGGUACAUAUAGUAACUGAUACAUAUGUAUGUGCAAAGUGCAUAACAUCAUAUAUACAAUGCAUUAAUAUGUACAUUGAUGUUUAUGAUCAUAUGUACAUUUAUUAUCAGUUUAUACAAUUAGCGUAUAUAUAUAUACAAAUUUAUAUACUACACACACAUAUAUGCAUAUAUAUAUAUAUAUGUACUAUAUAUAUAUGCGCGUUGUGUAUGAACUGAUGUGUGUAUCUAUACGAUAUGUAUAUACUGAUAUGUUUAUGUGUGUAUGUAUACACUUGUUUAUUAUCAGUUACAUACAAUUAUCAAUGUAUAUCUACACUGAUAUACGC
rnacentral:lncRNA from 1 species